rnacentral:lncRNA from 1 species
GUUCGAUUCUAAAUGCGGUAUAAUAUUCUGUUUAUUUUCUCAAGUUCCGAGGACCAUUUUUAACAAGGAAUAAACCAGAGUCUCUCUCUACAUUGCUACCUUGGAUAGUGUUGGAAAAUACUGCAAAUUCAAGCUAUCAUGGGCAAAAUAUGGGACAGACGUCUUGCUCUUGGUGCGAUGAUUAUUAUUACAAGUGCUUUGACGAGUGAGGGUACGUAUUUGCUUUUUAAAAACAUCGUUAAAAUAAGCAUAAAAUAUCACGCUACAUUUUAUAAAGUUGCAAUUUUUUACAAACAC